rnacentral:sRNA from 1 species
AUUUAAUUACUUCGUUUUAACCUUAGCGUGAUAUUUCGUAGUAAUUUUCACAUGCAUGUCCAAAACUGUAGACAUUAGCCAAAUAGCACUUAAUCAAAUGUGAUUUUCUGUAAAAACAACGAAGACCAUCAGAAGUUGACUUCUUAAACUGAAACGAAAUUACAUAGCUGUAUCGCAUUGAAAUAAUUGGAAGUGGGUAGAAGAAUAGAACAUACAACUUGGAAUGCAACUUUUAUUUUAUAUAGCUUAAGUUUGAUUGUUUUGUGUAUGUAUAAAAUUAGAAAAUGAUAUUAUUCUUUGUUGACCAACUCCGAAACUUACUUCUCAUAUGUACAUUAUCGCAUCAUUGCUCAUGCUGAAAUUGCUACUCAUCAAGUCAACUCCAGGCACACAAUGGAUGAAACCAUUUUCCGCCAUCUGAUUUGCAUACUUCAGCUCUGAAUUCAAAAUCUCAGGGGCUGAAAUGUUAGCCAAGCAUCUAUGGUACCCUCCACCAAAGGGUAUAUCUGACAUAUCAUGGAUUGCAGCCUCCUGAAGAGUUGAAUUUUGAUCAAAUCCAUUCCUCAAACCAAAAGAGUCAACUGAAUUUGCAGAGUUUACUUGAUCCAAUGAAAGCCACUCAGCAAAUAACAGUUUUGGCAAGGAGCUUUGGCUAGCCUCUUUGGUGAAGUUACAACUCUGUGUACCUUGAGUUGCAAGGUUUUUGAGAGAGUUUGAAGACUCCAUGGUAAUGCAUAACUCUAUUUCAAAUGAGGCAGGACGUGGUUCUUUUAAC